UAAAAUUUGUGGGAUCUCCAAAUGGCGGUGAUGCGGGGUCAGUGAGCCGAGGAGUCGAAAGAAAGAUUUCUUAGACUCUCAAGAUCUGGCAGUAGUGCUCUUUUAUUUAGAGAAUAGUGUGGAAUAGCAUGGGGACAGGACCCAUGGGCAGUAAGAGCUUCUGCUGCCCCCACUGGCAUGGGGACAGGGCCCAUGGAUAGGCAGAGCAGCUGCUGCUGCCCCCGCUGGCAUGGGGACAGGACCCAUGGGCAGGCAGAGCUCCUGCUGCUGCUCCGAGUUGAGGGUUAGGGCUAAUUUUAUAAGGCAUGGGUACGUGACUUAUUUUUACUGGAAAAAAAGAAAUGAUGAUGUAAAAAGUCAUUAAAUGAUUUCAGUGCAGAUGGGGUCUGGUUAUUGUGCGGUCAUAUAACUUUAGAUACGAAUCUGGCCAUAUAGAUCGGCAUGCAGGUGAGGAUGCCCUGGGCUUCUCUCCCUGGGGCAGUCCUAAUUCAUACCAUAAAAAAAGUCCACUGGGUCACAUAGUUUGGCAUGUAGGCCAGGUCACCUUGGGCUUCUCUGGCUGGGGCAGCCUUAAUCCACAUCAGCGGGACCCUAUGGACACUGAAACCAUUUGAACUUUUUAACAUAUUCUUUGUCUUGUAAAGAGAUAACUCACAUACCUAUGCCUUAAAUUUAGCCUUACUCUCCACCUAACUUUGCAGCAGAGGCAGCAGAAGCAGCAGCAGAAGCGGCAGCAGCAACAUGCCAGCAGCAGCUCUGCCUGCCCAUGGGUCCUGUCCCCAUGCCAGCGGCGGCAGCAGCAGCUCCCCCAUGCCAGCAGCAUCUCUGACUGCCCUCAGGUCCUGUCCCCACGCAGCAGCUGCGACUGCCCAUGGGUCGUGUCCCCAUGGCAGCAGCAGAAGCUCUGACUGCCCAUGGGUCCUGUCCCCAUGCUGUUCUAUACUAUUCUCUACAUAAAAGAGCACUACUGCCAGAUCUUAAGAGUCUAAGAAAUCUUUCUUUCUACUCCUCAGCUCACAGACCCUGCAUCAUUUCUGGUGGCCUGUACGGGGAUUUGCUUCAUCGGCUUGUGAGCUCGAGUUCUGGUCAUGGCAAACUGACAGUCUCUGACUCACAGAAAAAGAAAGAAGGCUUUGCUGAACACAGCUUACCAACAGCAGGUUUCACUACAGCCAUGACAGAACAUCUGCAGCAUUCUUUCAGUGGUGGAACACCUUGGUGAGACAGCUUACUUGUAGCUCUAUAGGAACAUAUUCUUUUUUUUUUUUUUUUGGUUAAAGGUUGACACCUGAGCUAACAUCUGUUGCCAAUCAUUUUCUUCUUCUUCUCUCCAAAGUCCCCUGCAGUACAUAGUUGUAUACUCUAGUUGCAGGUCCCUCUAGUUGUGCUAUGUGGAUCACUGCCUCAGCAUGGCCUGAUGAGUGGUGCUGGGUCCACACCCAGGAUCCAAACUGGCAAAACCCUGGGCCACCGAAGUGGAGCAUGUGAAGCCAACCACUUGGCCACAGGGCCGGCCCCUAUGGGAACAUAUUCUUAUAAGACUUUUCAAAGAUUGCAGUAUAGGCUGCCCACAACGGUGGUCUUUGCAUAUAAUUAAGAACCCUGAUGCUGAAUCAGCUUGCAAGUAGCUGUUCAAGAACCUCUUACAAAUCUUUGGAAACUUUUCACACAGUGGUAAC
rnacentral:lncRNA from 1 species